rnacentral:rRNA from 1 species
GACGAACGCUGGCGGCGUGCCUAAUACAUGCAAGUCGAACGAAGCUGUUUUAACUGGUGCUUGCACCGACUUAAACAACUGAGUGGCGAACGGGUGAGUAACACGUGGGUAACCUGCCCCAAAGCGGGGGAUAACAUUUGGAAACAGAUGCUAAUACCGCAUAACCACAGAAACCACAUGGUUUCUGUGUCAAAGAUGGUUUCGGCUAUCACUUUGGGAUGGACCCGCGGCGUAUUAGCUAGUUGGUAAGGUAAUGGCUUACCAAGGCAAUGAUACGUAGCCGAACUGAGAGGUUGAUCGGCCACAUUGGGACUGAGACACGGCCCAAACGCCUACGGGAGGCAGCAGGAGGGAAUCUUCCACAAUGGACGAAAGUCUGAUGGAGCAACGCCGCGUGAGUGAAGAAGGUUUUCGGAUCGUAAAACUCUGUUGUCAGAGAAGAACGUGUGCGAGAGUAACUGUUCGUGCAGUGACGGUAUCUGGCCAGAAAGCCACGGCUAACUACGUGCCAGCAGCCGCCGUAA